GUUCUUUUGAUCCUGCAUCUAGCGCAAGCAAGACGUGAUGUAAUGGAUCGAUUCUCCACUAGUGAGAGAGAUCCCGAGAAGUCAAAACAAGAUGGAGGGUUAAUGAUUGCGAGGGAUUCCGAGAGACCAAAACAAGAUAGAGGGGUCAUGAUUACGAGAAUCGCACGGGCGCCCCCGGACUAUCCGUGGGGUUAAAUGUAGCUGAAGGUAGUCAACAUGCCGGGCCCUUGGGGUACAGAUCCAUAUUAUGAAAAGAUGAUGACUGACCCUAUGCUAUUUACUGGAUAUUUACAAUAAAGAUUUAUAAUGCACAAUGUC